AUUAAUAACCCGGGUCGGGAACCCAAAAAUUUAAU
rfam:Nonlabens spongiae strain JCM 13191, complete genome.